rnacentral:rRNA from 1 species
AUGUCUUUGGAAGAGGUGACGGAUCUCAAACUGAAUUUGCUAGAGGCAAUUACAAACCAAUUUUCCGAGAAGCUCAGAAUCGGAAGUGGUGGCUAUGGAGAAGUUUACAGGGGAUUGCUCAAUGGGUGUGAAAUUGCUGUGAAGAAGCUUUAUCUCAACAAUGCAUCACUCGAUGAUAAGAGUUUUACAAAUGAAUUUCGUCAACUUAUGAAGGUCCAGCAUGAAAACAUUAUACGGCUGAUUGGCUACUGCUAUGAGAUAAAACAUAAGCAUACUGAUUACGGGGGGCAACUUGUCUUCUCUCAAGUUAUAGACCGAGCUCUCUGUUUUGAAUACAUGCCGGAAGGAAGUCUUGCCAAGCAUAUUUCUGAUGAUUCUUGUAUACAUGAUUGGGCCACAACAUACAACAUAAUCAAAGGGACCUGUGAAGGCCUUCAUUAUCUUCAUAGAGGAAGAGGAGAGGGUGGGCAUAUUUACCAUCUAGACUUAAAACCGGAAAACAUAUUGUUGGACAAGGAUAUGGUUCCCAAAAUCACAGAUUUUGGUUUGUCGAGACUCUUUGGUGAAUCAAAGACCCACAAAACAAACACCCGUAUGGAAGGAACAUUAGGAUUCAUGGCACCAGAAUACAUAAAUGAGUGUGCGAUAUCACCAAAGAAUGACGUGUUCAGUCUAGGCGUUAUAAUUUUCUACCUAGUGGCUGGACGAAAGGGCUACGGCGAAUAUUGUGACUCACGGUCCUCUCCCCGGCAAGAAUUCAUUGAUAGAGUACAAGAGUACUGGAAGCAAAGGAUGCGUGCAACGGCACACACCGGAUCGGACGAAACAAACCUA